rnacentral:rRNA from 1 species
UGAGCCGCGAAUAGCUCAUUACAACAGCCGUUGUUUCUUGGAUCUCUUCUCUACUUGGAUAACUGUGGUAAUUCUAGAGCUAAUACAUGCAACAAAGCUCCGAUCGUAAGUGACGAGCGCACUUAUUAGACCAAAGCCAUCCGGCUUCGGCCGUACUUUGGUGACUCUGGAUAACCUAGCAGAUCGCAUGGGCUCGUCCCGGCGACAAAUCUUUCAAGUGUCUGCCUUAUCAACUUUCGAUGGUAGUUUCUGUGACUACCAUGGUUGUGACGGGUAACGGAGGAUCAGGGUCUGACUCCGGAGAGGGAGCCUGAGAAACGGCUACCACUUCUAAGGAAGGCAGCAGGCGCGCAAAUUACCCAUUCUCAGAACGAGGAGGUAGUGAAGAAAAAUACCAAGAGGAGGCUCAUUGAGUUUCCUCAUUGGAAUGAGUACAAUCUAAAUCUUUUAACGAGGAUCUAGUGGAGGGCAAGUCUGGUGCCAGCAGCCGCGGUAAUUCCAGCUCCGCAAGUGUAUUCCUAUACUGUUGCGGUUAAAAAGCUCGUAGUUGGAUCUGAGUGCUUAGCGUCUGGUGCAGCUCUGCUGUUACUGGACGCUGCGCAUGAUUGGUCAAUCGGUUGCUGUUGUUGCCUUCACGGGGUGAUGAC